AGAGUUUGANCCCUGGCUCAGAUUGAACGCUGGCGGCAGGCCUAACACAUGCAAGUCGAGCGGCAGCACAAGUAAGUUUACUCAUGAGGUGGCGAGCGGCGGACGGGUGAGUAAUGCCUAGGGAUCUGCCCAGUCGAGGGGGAUAACAGUUGGAAACGACUGCUAAUACCGCAUACGCCCUACGGGGGAAAGAGGGGGACCUUCGGGCCUCUCGCGAUUGGAUGAACCUAGGUGGGAUUAGCUAGUUGGUGAGGUAAUGGCUCACCAAGGCGACGAUCCCUAGCUGUUCUGAGAGGAUGAUCAGCCACACUGGGACUGAGACACGGCCCAGACUCCUACGGGAGGCAGCAGUGGGGAAUAUUGCACAAUGGGGGAAACCCUGAUGCAGCCAUGCCGCGANUGUGAAGAAGGCCUUCGGGUUGUAAAGCACCUUUCAGUUCCNAGGAAAGGGGGAAUCUUAAUACCCCUU
rnacentral:rRNA from 1 species